rnacentral:lncRNA from 1 species
ACAGGCGAGGGCGUUCGGCGACGUUACUGGGGCUGCACGGUGCUUGUAGCUGGGCAGUCUUAUCAUCAGAGUGGAGCCUGGUAACCACGACCUCCCCGCCAGGUCCUGUGUGUUGCUAGCUGGAGAAGGGUAGUUGAAAACUCAGACCAAGCACAGUGUUUAUAUCGGUCAAAACUGGAAAACUAUGUCCGGGCGCAGCCGAGGCUGGAGGAUCCCUUCAGGCCAAGAGCAACCUAGCAAUAUGGCGCGACCGGAUCUCUGUAGUCCUACCUCAACCCCCAGCUACUUGAACCCCAAGGUUGAAGGCUCCAGUGAGCUAUGAUCCCACCACAGCAUUGCAGCCUGCCAGACUGAGACAUGAACUUAUGAAUUCAACACAUGAAGACUUACAACUUGAUAAACCAGCUUCAGGAGGCUGGAGUGCAAUGGUGCGAUCUGGGCUCACUGCAACCUCUACCUCCUGGGUUCAAGCGAUUCUCCUGUGUCAGCCUCCUGAAUAGCUGGGAUCACAGGUUCCUGAAAGGGAGAGAGGAAAUCUUCGAUUUUUCAUGGCUGUGAACCACUGCAAGUAUUGAAGAAAUAUUUACUACUUCCAGCCUCAUAAUCCUGCAGUCAUUUGGCACCUCUGAAGCCUUGGGGAGCACUGAAGCCAAGGCUGCACCGUACCAAAAAUUUGAAACAUGUGAAUGAGCUGAAUGUGGAAGGACUACCGGAAAACACUCCUUUCAGAAUCCCCUCAUUGCAUGAAAUCCCAAGGCUCGAAAACAUCUUUCAACUUGGUGAAAGGUAGAAGUUACACGUGAGAAGGCGGUGGAGCCAGGCACAUGAUGGAGCCUCGAAGAGUGGAAGGUGGCACCUGGCUCUGUGAGGAGGGUGUGAAGUCCUCCAUGGGAGGAAGAGAUGCCAGCAAAGGAGUAACUCCAGUUAGCCUCCAUUGUCUCCAAGCCGGCUUUUGUCCUCAUCCACAACGCCUCCACACAAGCUCUGAACACCUGUCCAUUGCUAACUUGAGACUGCCAUGCUGUUAGGAAGUUCAAGUUCACCACAUGGAGAUGAAAUAAGAUAUCAUGAUAAACAUCCCCAGCUGAUCCCAGCCUCCAGUGAUCCAUCAACUACAUAUAUGAUCCUAAGUCACAUGUGUGACCCCGAGCAAGAUCAGCAGAACAAUCACUCAGCCAACCCACAGAACCCUGAAAAAAUAUAAAUCAUUAUAGUUUAAACCACAAGUUUUGGGUAGCUUGUUAUGCUGCUAUUGAUAAUUAAAACAAACUGGAAUAUUUUCAUCUA